UACGAAGGGGGCUAGCGUUGCUCGGAAUCACUGGGCGUAAAGCGCACGUAGGCGGAUCCUUAAGUCGGGGGUGAAAUCCUGGAGCUCAACUCCAGAACUGCCUUCGAUACUGAGGAUCUCGAGUCCGGGAGAGGUGAGUGGAACUGCGAGUGUAGAGGUGAAAUUCGUAGAUAUUCGCAAGAACACCAGUGGCGAAGGCGGCUCACUGGCCCGGUACUGACGCUGAGGUGCGAAAGCGUGGGGAGCAAACAGGG
rnacentral:rRNA from 1 species